GGUCAAGUGAAUGUAAGUUUAGUGGCGGACGGGUGAGUAACGCGUGAGGAACCCUGGCCUUUCAGAGGGGGGACAACAGUUGGAAACGACUGCUAAUACCGCAUAACGCGUAGAGGUCGCAUGGCCUUUACGCCAAAGAUUUAUCGCUGAAAGAUGGCCUCGCGUCUGAUUAGCUAGUUGGUGAGGUAGCGGCCCACCAAGGCGACGGAUCAGUAGCCGGUCUGAGAGGAUGAACGGCCACAUUGGGACUGAGACACGGCCCAAACUCCUACGGGAGGCAGCAGUGGGGAAUAUUGGGCAAUGGGGGAAACCCUGACCCAGCAACGCCGCGUGAAGGAAGAAGGCCUUCGGGUUGUAAACUUCUUUUGGCAGGGACGAAGAACGUGACGGUACCUGCAGAAAAAGCAACGGCUAACUACGUG
rnacentral:rRNA from 1 species